rnacentral:rRNA from 1 species
UACGUAGGGUGCGAGCGUUGUCCGGAAUUACUGGGCGUAAAGAGCUCGUAGGUGGUUUGUCGCGUUGUUCGUGAAAACUCACAGCUCAACUGUGGGCGUGCGGGCGAUACGGGCAGACUGGAGUACUGCAGGGGAGACUGGAAUUCCUGGUGUAGCGGUGAAAUGCGCAGAUAUCAGGAGGAACACCGGUGGCGAAGGCGGGUCUCUGGGCCGUAACUGGACGCUGGAGGAGCGAAAGCAUGGGGAGCGAACAGG